rnacentral:rRNA from 1 species
AAGACCUUGCGCUUUUGGAGCGGCCGAUGCCUGAUUAGCUAGUUGGUGGGGUAAAAGCCUACCGAGGCAACGAUCAGUAGUUGGUCUGAGAGGACGGCCAGCCACACUGGGACUGAGACACGGCCCAGACUCCUACGGGAGGCAGCAGUGGGGAAUUUUGGACAAUGGGCGCAAGCCUGAUCCAGCAAUGCCGCGUGAGUGAAGAAGGCCUUCGGGUUGUAAAGCUCUUUCAGUCGAGAAGAAAAGAUUGUGACGAAUAAUCACAAUUCAUGACGGUAUCGACAGAAGAAGCACCGGCUAACUACGUGCCAGCAGCCGCGGUAAUACGUAGGGUGCAAGCGUUAAUCGGAAUUACUGGGCGUAAAGGGUGCGCAGGCGGCUUUGUAAGUCAGAUGUGAAAUCCCCGGGCUUAACCUGGGAAUU